AAGGGUGCGUAGGCGGACAGUUAACGUCAGUGGUGAAAUCUUCGAGCUCAACUCGGAAACUGCCAUUGAUACUAUCUGUCUUGAAUACUGUGGAGGUGAGCGGAAUAUGUCAUGUAGCGGUGAAAUGCUUAGAUAUGACAUAGAACACCGAUUGCGAAGGCAGCUCGCUACACAAAUAUUGACGCUGAGGCACGAAAGCGUGGGGAUCAAACAGGAUUAGAUACCCUGGU
rnacentral:rRNA from 1 species